GCCAGGAACAGAUCAGGAAUGCUCUUCAGAACUCCUGUAAAAAUCUGCACACGGGUUCAAAGUGACUUGAGGAGCCAGUGAACAGGAGCAGCAAACAGGAGAUUUUGUGAGGGAGUUCUCCAGGUGAAAGAGGAGACUACGUGAUUCAUGGGGUUCUCAGAGGCAACUAAACAAUUUGGACUCACCAUCAGUCUGGAAAAUAACUGAAGUCCUCUUCCAACCAGCUCCAUCAACCAUUACCACUGAGCCAAACAUCACCAUUGAUAGUAUAGAACUAAAGACCAUCAAUCACUUUACUUACCUUGGCAGUAUCCUCUCAACUGAUGGUUCCCUGGAUCAAGAAAUAUCCAAAUAGAACAUUCAAGGCAAGCCAGGCCUUCUGAAGACUUCACCAUAGGAUACUCAAUCAUCACACAGUCAACAAAACUGAUGAUAUACAAUGCCGCAGUGAUUGUAUCCCUUUUACAUGGGUGUGAAAUGUGGACAGUUUUUAUCACAGACACAUUAAGCAACUUGAAAAAUUUCACAUGCACGGUCUCCACUGUAUUCUGAAAGUCCAUUGGCAGACAAAGUCUCAAACAUUAACAUCCUUAAAAGAACAAAACCAAACAGCAUUAAGGCAUUGAUUAUCAUAGCUCGUCUUAAAUAGACGAGCCAUGUUAUUAGAAUGGGCAAUGAUAAACUCCCCCCAAAAGGUUUUCUAUGGCACUCUUAAAGCACAGGAGUUAAAAGUCUUCAAAGAGACCCUUAAGCAGAAUCUCAUCUCAUGCAGCAUAAAUAUUGGUCACUUUGAAGACAUAGCCAUGGACAGAUCUAAAUGGAGAGAAACGAUCAAUAAAUGUUAUAAACACUUUGAGGAAGACAGACAUGAAAAACUGAUUGAAAAAAGUGCCAAGCAUCAUAAUAAGUUUUCAAUGGGAGCCUGCGCGUUCCUGUGUGAUAUCUGUUCAUGAUAUUGCUCCUUGUGGAUCAGACUACACAGCCACAUGAAAACACAGGUGAUGCCAUGACAUCAGCAUCUGAUAUGACACACUGUUGUAUGAUUGUCU